rnacentral:rRNA from 1 species
CAAUAGCGUAUAUUAAAGUUGUUGCGGUUAAAAAGCUCGUAGUUGGAUUUCUGCUGAGGACGACCGGUCCGCCCUCUGGGUGAGCAUCUGGUUCGGCCUUGGCAUCUUCUUGGGGAACGUAGCUGCACUUGACUGUGUGGUGCGGUAUCCAGGACUUUUACUUUGAGGAAAUUAGAGUGUUUCAAGCAGGCGCACGCCUUGAAUACAUUAGCAUGGAAUAAUAAGAUAGGACCUCGGUUCUAUUUUGUUGGUUUCUAGAGCUGAGGUAAUGAUUAAUAGGGAUAGUUGGGGGCAUUCGUAUUUAACUGUCAGAGGUGAAAUUCUUGGAUUUGUUAAAGACGGACUACUGCGGAAGCAUUUGCCAAGGAUGUUUUCAUUGA